UCCAUUUAUGUGGGGUGCACCUGCUGUGGACAGAGGAGCCACAGAUGACCUUUGUGAAGGAGGCUCAGUAAGGAGUUCUGAGGAGGAGGGGAGUGAUGACACUUGGAGUGAUUCUGAAGAAU